rnacentral:rRNA from 1 species
AUACAAAACCAAUGCCCUUCGGGGCUCUCUUGGUGAUUCAUGAUAACUUCUCGAAUCGCACGGCCCCGCGCCGGCGAUGGUUCAUUCAAAUUUCUUCCCUACCAACCUUCGAUGCUACGGUAUUGUCCUAGCAUGGUUG